rnacentral:tRNA from 1 species
AAAGGGAGACCUAAUUCCGGUAGGAGACGAAAAAAAAGUAGUCCCAACCAAGAAUCAACCCCAAAAGGUCGGAGCGAGGCGAAAUUGGCUUUCAAACUAGGUUCUGGGUUCACACAAGACCUGAAUCAGGAACAAGGGCUAUUAGCUCAGGUGGUUAGAGCGCACCCCUGAUAAGGGUGAGGUCCCUGGUUCGAGUCCAGGAUGGCCCACCUGCACAGGUGGCAAAAACAAAGAAAAAAAGCUCCGAAUCAGCACCUUAUCUUACUUAUACAGUAAGAGAGAAUGCUGGCUCUGAGUUCAGAGUCCAGAGGAACCUUGAAAACUGCAUAGAGCUAGGUGAAAAAGCCAAAAAAGAAGACCGCAAG